rnacentral:rRNA from 2 species
GGGGAAUAUUGCACAAUGGAGGAAACUCUGAUGCAGCGAUGCCGCGUGAGGGAAGAAGGUUUUAGGAUUGUAAACCUCUGUCUUCAGGGACGAAAAAAGGACGGUACCUGAGGAGGAAGCUCCGGCUAACUACGUGCCAGCAGCCGCGGUAAUACGUAGGGAGCGAGCGUUGUCCGGAAUUACUGGGUGUAAAGGGAGCGUAGGCGGGAUCGCAAGUCAGAUGUGAAAACUAUGGGCUUAACCCAUAAACUGCAUUUGAAACUGUGGUUCUUGAGUGAAGUAGAGGUAAGCGGAAUUCCUAGUGUAGCGGUGAAAUGCGUAGAUAUUAGGAGGAACAUCAGUGGCGAAGGCGGCUUACUGGGCUUUAACUGACGCUGAGGCUCGAAAGCGUGGGGAGCAAACAGGAUUAGAUACCCUGGUAGUCCACGCCGUAAACGAUGAUUACUAGGUGUGGGGGGACUGACCCCUUCCGUGCCGCAGCAAACGCAAUAAGUAAUCCACCUGGGGAGUACGACCGCAAGGUUGAAACUCAAAGGAAUUGACGGGGGCCCGCACAAGCAGUGGAGUAUGUGGAUUAAUUCGAAGCAACGCGAAGAACCUUACCAGGUCUUGACAUCGUAUGCAUAGCUCAGAGAUGAGUGAAAUCUCUUCGGAGACAUAUAGACAGGUGGUGCAUGGUUGUCGUCAGCUCGUGUCGUGAGGUGUUGGGUUAAGUCCCGCAACGAGCGCAACCCUUACUGUUAGUUGCUACGCAAGAGCACUCUAGCAGGACUGCCGUUGACAAAACGGAGGAAGGUGGGGAUGACGUCAAAUCAUCAUGCCCCUUAUGACCUGGGCCUCACACGUACUACAAUGGCUGUAAACAGAGGGAAGCAAAGCCGCGAGGUAGAGCGAACCCCUAAAAGCAGUCUUAGUUCGGAUUGUAGGCUGCAACCCGCCUACAUGAAGUCGGAAUUGCUAGUAAUCGCAGAUCAGCAUGCUGCGGUGAAUACGUUCCCG